GACGAACGCUGGCGGCGUGCUUAACACAUGCAAGUCGAGCGGUAAGGCCCUUUCGGGGGUACACGAGCGGCGAACGGGUGAGUAACACGUGGGUGACCUGCCCUUAGCUCUGGGAUAAGCCUGGGAAACUGGGUCUAAUACCGGAUAUGACUCCAUAACGCAUGUUGUGGGGUGGAAAGCCUUGUGCGGCUAGGGAUGGGCCCGCGGCCUAUCAGCUUGUUGGUGGGGUGAUGGCCACCAAGGCGACGACGGGUAGCCGGCCUGAGAGGGCGACCGGCCACACUGGGACUGAGACACGGCCCAGACUCCUACGGGAGGCAGCAGUGGGGAAUCUUGCGCAAUGGGCGAAAGCCUGGCGCAGCGACGCCGCGUGGGGA
rnacentral:rRNA from 1 species